AAUAACAGCCAGGGGGCCGCUGUUCCGCAGGGGACAGAGGAACUUCCGGACUUCACAGGGCGCCGUGCCGCGCGAAAGCGCGGGGGUUUCGGGCUAAAAUCCGAGACCACGGAAAGUGCAACAGAAAAUAUACCGCCGCGUCGUAGCGUAAGCGAAGACGGGUAAGGUUGAAAAGGUGCGGUAAGAGCGCACCGCGCUUUUGGCGACAAAAGCGGCACUGCAAACCCCGCGGGAAGCAAGGCCAAAUAUGCGCAUAUGCUGCCCGCAUUCGCCGCAGAGUAGGCCGCAAAGAGUAAUGGUCCCCGCCGUCACGGCGCAAGCCGCAGCGAAACAGAAUCCGGGGUACAGGCUGUUAAAAAAA
rnacentral:RNase_P_RNA from 1 species